GACGAACGCUGGCGGCGCGCCUAACACAUGCAAGUCGAACGAGCGAGAGAGAGCUUGCUUUCUCGAGCGAGUGGCGAACGGGUGAGUAACGCGUGAGGAACCUGCCUCAAAGAGGGGGACAACAGUUGGAAACGACUGCUAAUACCGCAUAAGCCCACGGCUCGGCAUCGAGCAGAGGGAAAAGGAGCAAUCCGCUUUGAGAUGGCCUCGCGUCCGAUUAGCUAGUUGGUGAGGUAAUGGCCCACCAAGACGACGAUCGGUAGCCGGACUGAGAGGUUGAACGGCCACAUUGGGACUGAGACACGGCCCAGACUCCUACGGGAGGCAGCAGUGGGGAAUAUUGCACAAUGGGGGAAACCCUGAUGCAGCGACGCCGCGUGGAGGAAGAAGGUCUUCGGAUUGUAAACUCCUGUUGUUGGGGAAGAUAAUGACGGUACC
rnacentral:rRNA from 1 species